rnacentral:rRNA from 1 species
CGCCUUAUACUCCUACGGGAGGCAGCAGUAGGGAAUCUUCCGCAAUGGACGAAAGUCUGACGGAGCAACGCCGCGUGAGCGAAGAAGGCCUUCGGGUCGUAAAGCUCUGUUGUUAGGGAAGAACAAGUAACGCAGUAACUGGCGUUACCGUGACGGUACCUAACGAGAAAGCCACGGCUAACUACGUGCCAGCAGCCGCGGUAAUACGUAGGUGGCAAGCGUUGUCCGGAAUUAUUGGGCGUAAAGCGCGCGCAGGCGGUUCCUUAAGUCUGAUGUGAAAGCCCACGGCUCAACCGUGGAGGGUCAUUGGAAACUGGGGGACUUGAGUGCAGAAGAGGAGAGCGGAAUUCCACGUGUAGCGGUGAAAUGCGCAGAGAUGUGGAGGAACACCAGUGGCGAAGGCGGCUCUCUGGUCUGUAACUGACGCUGAGGCGCGAAAGCGUGGGGAGCAAACAGGAUUAGAUACCCGAGUAGUCCACGUACCA